rnacentral:rRNA from 1 species
CACGUAGGGUCCGAGCGUUGUCCGGAAUUACUGGGCGUAAAGCGUGCGCAGGCGGUUUUGUAAGUCUGUCGUGAAAUCCCCGGGCUCAACCUGGGAAUUGCGAUGGAGACUGCAAGGCUAGAAUCUGGCAGAGGGGGGUAGAAUUCCACGUGUAGCAGUGAAAUGCGUAGAGAUGUGGAGGAACACCGAUGGCGAAGGCAGCCCCCUGGGUCAAGAUUGACGCUCAUGCACGAAAGCGUGGGGAGCAAACAGG